GAGAAGAAUGAGCACGCUGGAGAGCUCAAAUGGGUAACAACUGUAGAACUGAGGCCACAGAGGCCCUUUGAUCAAGCUUACUGCAGUUCCCGCUGUCUUUGAAUAUGGAGGUCCUUGUUACGAUGCAGAGGGGGAGGCGAAGAUGAAGUCUGUUUGUUCUUGUUCUUGUAUUGUGUCGUGUCUUUGCCCACUUUGUCAGAGUUUCUUCUUAGAGUUCACUUCAUGUCGUAAACAUAAUUAUAGCUAUAUUUAAUUAUUAAUUGGGGCUAGAUACUUAAACUAUAUUGCUAGAUGUUGUUCAUACAAAGCCAGAACCAGUGUAUGGACAGAUUCUGUUACACAGGAUGCAAACGAACAUAUAUCUCAGCCAUAUUAACCAUAUGUAUCUUGACAUGAGUUUUUAUAAAGGUUUCGUUUUGAUAAUUUGUCUAACAGAUAUCUGCUUCCUUUGACAUCAUUUCUUAAGACCAAACAGCAGAAACUAUAUUGAGGUCUGUUACUUUGGGUUUUUCUGUUAGACACUAUGUGAGGCAACAUACAGUAGAGUUACUUCCAGUUCCAGUUGUCACACGGUUUCAUACCUUUUAUAUUUUAUGUUACAAUGUUACAUUAAAUCCCCCUGGUUUUUCAUUACAUUUUACAUUUAUUUACGUUUAUUUUAGCUGUAUUUACGCUAAUUUUAGUUAAGGUUGGAAGGGAUUACAUUUGUUUUAUCUGCCAGAUCCAAUCCUCAGUAUUCAGAUUGCGAUUUUUUAACUCCAUGUCUUAAGCCCAUACACUGAAACCUUUUUCAGUGCAUUUAGUUUUGUCUACUUGAAAAUAGCAUAUUAUGUUAAAAUAUAUUUUAAAUAUGUAAUAUAAUGUAAAACAACCUUGUUGUGAUUUUUCUGAAAUAUAAUAUUUCACAAUGUUGAUUUAUUACUGAAAUGGUGACCUGGUGUAUAUGAAUUAAUAUCACUUACAUUUAGACAGAUAAGUAAUAUAUAACUGAAAUGGUGACCUGGUGUGUAUGAAUUAAUAUCACUUACAUUUAGACAGAUAAGUAAUAUAUAACUGAAAUGGUGACCUGGUGUGUAUGAAUUAAUAUCACUUACAUUUAGACAGAUAAGUAAUAUAUAACUGAAAUGGUGACCUGGUGUGUAUGAAUUAAUAUCACUUACAUUUUGACAGAUAAGUAAUAUAUAACUGAAAUGGUGACCUGGUGUGUAUGAAUUAAUAUCACUUACAUUUUGACAGAUAAGUAAUAUAUAACUGAAAUGGUGACCUGGUGUGUAUGAAUUAAUAUCACUUACAUUUAGACAGAUAAGUAAUAUAUAACUGAAAUGGUGACCUGGUGUGUAUGAAUUAAUAUCACUUACAUUUAGACAGAUAAGUAAUAUAUAACUGAAAUGGUGACCUGGUGUGUAUGAAUUAAUAUCACUUACAUUUUGACAGAUAAGUAAUAUAUAACUGAAAUGGUGACCUGGUGUGUAUGAAUUAAUAUCACUUACAUUUUAACAGAUAAGUAAUAUAUAACUGAAAUGGUGACCUGGUGUGUAUGAAGUAUGAAUUAAUAUCACUUACAUUUUGACAGAUAAGUAAUAUAUAACUGAAAUGGUGACCUGGUGUGUAUGAAGUAAUAUCACUUACAUUUUGAAAGAUAAGUAAUAUAUAACUGAAAUGGUGACCUGGUGUGUAUGAAUUAAUAUCACUUACAUUUAGACAGAUAAGUAAUAUAUAACUGAAAUGGUGACCUGGUGUGUAUGAAGUAAUAUCACUUACAUUUUGACAGAUAAGUAAUAUAUAACUGAAAUGGUGACCUGGUGUGUAUGAAUUAAUAUCACUUACAUUUUGACAGAUAAGUAAUAUAUAACUGAAAUGGUGACCUGGUGUGUAUGAAUUAAUAUCACUUACAUUUUGACAGAUAAGUAAUAUAUAACUGAAAUGGUGACCUGGUGUGUAUGAAUUAAUAUCACUUACAUUUUGACAGGUAAGUAAUAUAUAACUGAAAUGGUGACCUGGUGUGUAUGAAUUAAUAUCACUUACAUUUAGACAGAUAAGUAAUAUAUAACUGAAAUGGUGACCUGGUGUGUAUGAAUUAAUAUCACUUACAUUUGGACAGAUAAGUAAUAUAUAACUGAAAUGGUGACCUGGUGUGUAUGAAUUAAUAUCACUUACAUUUUGACAGAUAAGUAAUAUAUAACUGAAAUGGUGACCUGGUGUGUAUGAAUUAAUAUCACUUACAUUUUGACAGAUAAGUAAUAUAUAACUGAAAUGGUGACCUGGUGUGUAUGAAGUAAUAUCACUUACAUUUAGACAGAUAAGUAAUAUAUAACUGAAAUGGUGACCUGGUGUGUAUGAAUUAAUAUCACUUACAUUUUGACAGAUAAGUAAUAUAUAACUGAAAUGGUGACCUGGUGUGUAUGAAUUAAUAUCACUUACAUUUUGACAGAUAAGUAAUAUAUAACUGAAAUGGUGACCUGGUGUGUAUGAAUUAAUAUCACUUACAUUUUGACAGAUAAGUAAUCUAUAACAGAAAUGGUGACCUGGUGUGUAUGAAUUAAUAUCACUUACAUUUAGACAGAUAAGUAAUAUAUAACUGAAAUGGUGACCUGGUGUGUAUGAAGUAAUAUCACUUACAUUUUGACAGAUAAGUAAUAUAUAACUGAAAUGGUGACCUGGUGUGUAUGAAUUAAUAUCACUUACAUUUAGACAGAUAAGUAAUAUAUAACUGAAAUGGUGACCUGGUGUGUAUGAAUUAAUAUCACUUACAUUUUGACAGAUAAGUAAUAUAUAACUGAAAUGGUGACCUGGUGUGUAUGAAGUAAUAUCACUUACAUUUUGACAGAUAAGUAAUAUAUAACUGAAAUGGUGACCUGGUGUGUAUGAAUUAAUAUCACUUACAUUUUGACAGAUAAGUAAUAUAUAACUGAAAUGGUGACCUGGUGUGUAUGAAUUAAAAUCACUUACAUUUUGACAGAUAAGUAAUAUAUAACUGAAAUGGUGACCUGGUGUGUAUGAAUUAAUAUCACUUACAUUUUGACAGAUAAGUAAUAUAUAACUGAAAUGGUGACCUGGUGUGUGUGAAGUAUGAAUUAAUAUCACUUACAUUUUGACAGAUAAGUAAUAUAUAACUGAAAUGGUGACCUGGUGUGUAUGAAUUAAUAUCACUUACAUUUAGACAGAUAAGUAAUAUAUAACUGAAAUGGUGACUUGGUGUGUAUGAAUUAAUAUCACUUACAUUUUGACAGAUAAGUAAUAUAUAACUGAAAUGGUGACCUGGUGUGUAUGAAGUAUGAAUUAAUAUCACUUACAUUUUGACAGAUAAGUAAUAUAUUACUGAAAUGGUUACCUGGUGUGUAUGAAUUAAUAUCACUUACAUUUUGACAGAUAAGUAAUAUAUAACUGAAAUGGUGACCUGGUGUGUAUGAAUUAAUAUCACUUACAUUUAGACAGAUAAGUAAUAUAUAACUGAAAUGGUGACCUGGUGUGUAUGAAUUAAUAUCACUUACAUUUAGACAGAUAAGUAAUAUAUAACUGAAAUGGUGACCUGGUGUGUAUGAAGUAUGAAUUAAUAUCACUUACAUUUUGACAGAUAAGUAAUAUAUAACUGAAAUGGUGACCUGGUGUGUAUGAAUUAAAAUCACUUACAUUUUGACAGAUAAGUAAUAUAUAACUGAAAUGGUGACCUGGUGUGUAUGAAUUAAUAUCACUUACAUUUUGACAGAUAAGUAAUAUAUAACUGAAAUGGUGACCUGGUGUGUAUGAAGUAUGAAUUAAUAUCACUUACAUUUUGACAGAUAAGUAAUAUAUAACUGAAAUGGUGACCUGGUGUGUAUGAAGUAUGAAUUAAUAUCACUUACAUUUUGACAGAUAAGUAAUAUAUAACUGAAAUGGUGACCUGGUGUGUAUGAAUUAAUAUCACUUACAUUUUGACAGAUAAGUAAUAUAUAACUGAAAUGGUGACUUGGUGUGUAUGAAUUAAUAUCACUUACAUUUUGACAGAUAAGUAAUAUAUAACUGAAAUGGUGACCUGGUGUGUAUGAAGUAUGAAUUAAUAUCACUUACAUUUUGACAGAUAAGUAAUAUAUUACUGAAAUGGUGACCUGGUGUGUAUGAAUUAAUAUCACUUACAUUUUGACAGAUAAGUAAUAUAUAACUGAAAUGGUGACCUGGUGUGUAUGAAUUAAUAUCACUUACAUUUAGACAGAUAAGUAAUAUAUAACUGAAAUGGUGACCUGGUGUGUAUGAAUUAAUAUCACUUACAUUUAGACAGAUAAGUAAUAUAUAACUGAAAUGGUGACCUGGUGUGUAUGAAGUAUGAAUUAAUAUCACUUACAUUUUGACAGAUAAGUAAUAUAUAACUGAAAUGGUGACCUGGUGUGUAUGAAUUAAAAUCACUUACAUUUUGACAGAUAAGUAAUAUAUAACUGAAAUGGUGACCUGGUGUGUAUGAAUUAAUAUCACUUACAUUUUGACAGAUAAGUAAUAUAUAACUGAAAUGGUGACCUGGUGUGUAUGAAGUAUGAAUUAAUAUCACUUACAUUUUGACAGAUAAGUAAUAUAUAACUGAAA
ensembl:lncRNA